CAGUCGCCGCGGGAAUACGAAGGGUGCAAGCGUUGUUCGGAAUUACUGGGCGUAAAGCGCACGUAGGCGGAUACUUAAGUCAGGGGUGAAAUCCCGGGGCUCAACCCCGGAACUGCCUUUGAUACUGGGUAUCUCGAGUCCGGAAGAGGUGAGUGGAAUUCCGAGUGUAGAGGUGAAAUUCGUAGAUAUCGGAAGGGACAUCUGUGGCGAAGGCGACUAUCUGGGCCAUUACUGACACUGAGGCACGAAAGCGUGGGGAGCAAACAGGAUUAGAUACCCCCGUAGUCCCUGUCUCUUAUAC
rnacentral:rRNA from 1 species